GCCGGUCACGGGCCCACGGGUGGGGUCGUGAUAAAGUUGGUAUCAGAGCUUAGGUUUAGAUUUCCUUCGACCUAAGUUAAGAUUUUUCUUAGUACUGCGGAGUUAGGAUCAUGUCUGUCUUGUUGUUUUCAUUGACUCCAGUGUCUCAGCCUUCACUGUUAGAGAGUCAGUCUUUCCUUUCUUGUAAGCUUGUCCUUGGUGCUGUGCUGAGAAUGUGCUUUGUAGCGAUGGGAAG
rnacentral:lncRNA from 1 species